rnacentral:rRNA from 1 species
CCAUAAUCGAAUAUUACGAACCACAGUUUAAAAUUCAAAGAUUUUGGCGGUGUCUUAUAAAACCAGGGGAACCUGCCUCAUAACUCGAUAGUCCACGACUACCUAACCUCUUUUUGAAAUUCAGUAUGUGUACUGCCGUUGUAAGCAAACCUUUAAAAGACAUAAGUAUGCCACCAUGAUUAAUUUAUUUAACUCAUUCACAUCAGGUCAAAGUGCAGCUAAUAAAGAGGAGAUGGUGGGUUACAACCUAAAAAAAGAAAUGAAUUAAAAAACUAAAUAUUUUAUAAAAGUGGACUUGACUGUAAUUAAAUAAUACUAUCAAUUAAUGAAUACAUAUUUAAGACAUGCACACAUCGCCCG